rnacentral:rRNA from 1 species
UAGAGUUUGAUCCUGGCUCAGGACGAACGCUGGCGGCGUGCUUAACACAUGCAAGUCGAACGCUGAAGCUCUAGCUUGCUGGGGUGGAUGAGUGGCGAACGGGUGAGUGACACGUGGGUGAUCUGCCCUGCACUUUGGGAUAAGCCUGGGAAACUGGGUCUAAUACCGAAUACUCACAUCACUGUAGGGGUGGUGUGGAAAGCUUUUGCGGUGUGGGAUGAGCCUGCGGCCUAUCAGCUUGUUGGUGGGGUAAUGGCCUACCAAGGCGUCGACGGGUAGCCGGCCUGAGAGGGUGUACGGCCACAUUGGGACUGAGACACGGCCCAGACUCCUACGGGAGGCAGCAGUGGGGAAUAUUGCACAAUGGGCGCAAGCCUGAUGCAGCGACGCCGCGUGGGGGAUGAAGGCCUUCGGGUUGUAAACUCCUUUCGCUUGGGACGAAGCCCACUUGUGGGUGACGGUACCUUGAGAAGAAGCACCGGCUAACUACGUGCCAGCAGCCGCGGUAAUACGUAGGGUGCGAGCGUUGUCCGGAAUUACUGGGCGUAAAGAGCUCGUAGGUGGUUUGUCGCGUCGUCUGUGAAAUCCCGGGGCUUUAACUUCGGGCGUGCAGGCGAUACGGGCAUAACUUGAGUGCUGUAGGGGAGACUGGAAUUCCUGGUGUAGCGGUGAAAUGCGCAGAUAUCAUGAGGAACACCGAU